CGGAGUCGAGCGAAAAUAUAAGCUCCUGCCCGUGACCCGGUUCGUCAUGGCGGCCAGAAAGCCUCGCUCGGUGGCCAACCCUUUGGAGUCCGCUAUCACUUCACCGAGUGAGAGGAUACUGAGAGAAUGCCACAGUUUGUAUGUCGACAGCGAAAACGGCCUGGUCAAGAUUGCCAGCAGCCUCGGAGUGCGUCUACUGCCCCCCAGGAAGAAAAUUAUUGUGAUGAUCAUGGGUAACCACUCUGCAGGAAAGAGCUCCUUCAUCAAUUGGUAUGUCGAAGAGCACAUCCAAAAAACUGGUGUUGCCAUCGAAACGCAGGGCUUCACGUUCAUCACAAGUGGGCGUAAAAGAGAAUCAUUGACGGGGAAUGCAACGUUACAUCUCUACCCCCAUUUUCGACCGCUCCUUGAGUUCAAAGGUGUUAUGGACUACCUGUCGGCGGAGAUCUCCACCUCCAAGCAGAAGAAGUUCAGCCUUGUGACCUUUGUGGACACACCUGGCUUGGUGGACGGGGACAUGAUUUACCCUUUUAAUGUCAACAGCGCCAUCACAUGGCUGGGAGAACAGUCCGAUCUGAUAUUUGUAUUCUUCGACCCGAUGGGUCAGGCGCUGUGCAGGCGCACGCUAAACAUUGUGGAGAAACUGAGCGAGAAAUGCGGAGACAAGCUUUUGUUCUACCUCAGCAAGGCCGAUGAAGCUGGCAAGGAAACGGACCGACAGAGAGUGAUGAUGCAGAUCGUCCAGGAAUUGUGCCGCCGCCAAGGUCUCAACAAAUGUGGUUUUGAAAUGCCAACAAUAUAUAUCCCAAACCCGCAGAAGCCAAGCCGCUGUGUCAACCAGAUCGACGGCGUGUGCCAAACCAUCGAAAAGACCAUCAGCCAGGCUGUGCAGAGGACUUUGGACCAGUUGGAGAAAGACUGUGAUUUAAUUUGCUCCACCAUCAGCAACAGACUACAACAGGACAGGACUGAUGCCACUUGCAACCAAAAUGUCCGGCUGAACUCGUUGGUGUGCGGUGCUUUGGGAGUCUUCCUUCCUCUUCUCUUCAUCCUGAGUUUUGUUGUGAGCGCCUUCUCUAAAGGGCAGCUCGGUGAGCUGAUGGGCCAAGGGCCUGCACAAACCCUUACCAUCUGCACUGGAAUAGUCAUGUACGUAUGGGAUUGGAUUCCAGAAGAUGGACAAGUUGUUUUUAUAAUGUUUUUUGGAGCCUUUUGCUACUUCCUACUUUUCCUAGCUAAACAUUUUUCUGGUCAAAGAAACAAGACUUUAACAAAGAAGGAGAAGAGGACGAUGAAAGAGUACAGUGAUUAUAUCCUGGAUAUCGUCAAAACCAGGAAGGGUAAAUUGUAUGAAUGGUACCUCCAGCAAUGCGCUGCAGAAUAUGACCUUUGACCCUGGGUUAGACGAAUGUUCUUCACACUUGUGCGUAUAUCAGCACAGCACAGCGUUGAAAGUUCAAUGCGGUGGUCCUGCAGGAAGUCCAGGGAUCGCAAGCGCAGCUGUUCUGCCGUGCUGUCUAGGGACUGAGGAUCUUUGACGUGACAGACGGAGGCUUCCACGUAGUCCCGCGAUUUGCGGUAAGCUUGGAGCAAGGCGGAGUCGUCGUCCGAGUUGCGUCCGAGGGCCCCGUUCGGUCUGCAGUCGGCGAAGGGACUCGCCUUGCCGUUAGGCGAAAGGCCAUCCGCCUCUUUUUCUUUUUCCAGGAGCGAGAGUUCCACUUUGACUUCCACUGCACAACACAGGCACACGUUGUCACGAGCGACUUUCGAACGCAAAUCAAGAGCAAACGCGCUCUGACGUCUGCACCGGUGGAACAAACGAAAGCGGGAAAAAGGUGAAGGAACUCAUUCAAACUUUUUUUGCUUUUCUUUCUGUUAGCUGUCAUGACUAAUUCCUUCAUGAAUUAUUUGGAGAAAUGAGUCAUUUACCUUCAUUCGUCAAUAAUCAUAAGAAUAAUUCUAAUUGUCGUCAGUUUUGCAUUAAAAACAUUUAUUGAUUUAUUGAUGAUACUCAAUUAUAUUCAAAUGAAACGGUAUAAUUAUCACAUGAAUGGAUUUGCUUAAACAUUCAUUUAGUGUGUUUUCUUUUGUCCUUUUAAUGCAAAGGACAAAGGACGAAAACAUUUGAGUAAAUAAACAUAAUACUCGAAACAGCACAAAUUAGGGGACAUUUUCAACUUACCUGCUCAACAGGUGUACACACUAAAAUGCUUCUAAUUCCAUCUGAUGUGUGACUUUUAGAUUUACUGCACAUGAAAAAAAAUAAAUAUAUAUAUAUAUUUUUAUUUUUUUAUUUUAUUUUUUUAUUUUAUUUUAUAUAUUUUUUAUUUUUUGGGGGGGUGCAGCAUGCUGUAUCUGUUUGGCUGGGGGAAAUGUGCUGAUUGUCCAGCUCUUACAAAGUAAUCUGACUGGAAUUUUCUCCCGCUGAGUAAGUCUUAAUUAAAGCGAAUGGAAAAUUGGAAUAGUGUGGGCAAUUGGCGGGGAACAGAAAGAAAACGUUGGAGGGAACCGCUUGACGCUGAUGCACAUAAAAUCUUAAAAACAUCAGCACACGAGGAAACAUCCUUUGCGUUACAAGUAGGGCUGUAUCUUCAACAGCACUGUACAUAUAUUUGGAAUUUGGUGAGGGUACACUUCGCUUGUUUAUUCCUGCAUUGUUUUUGUCAAUAACAAUGACUUUUUUUCCACAUCCAACCUUAACCUCCUACACGUGACACAUUAACCUGAUGUUUAAUGCAAAAGCGAAAGCUUGUGUUAUUAUUAGCUGCAAUGACGCACGCUCAUCUUCUCAUCAGGCCAGAAAUACAAGCACACAAACGGCUAAACACACACACACAUAAUGUCAGGUUUUUAUAUUCAUGUAUAUGUAAUCCUCUUGAGUAAGAUGCCAUAAUAGCAUUAAAAUUCCUCCUGCGUGAAACACUACACUGCAAGCGGAGUAGGUUGGACAUAAAAGGGUGAACAUGGUCCCGUAUGAAGGUUAGGGUUGGUAUCCUUCAAAAUGCUGCGAAAUGGAACGAAUGCCUCCCUGCCCUGCAGACUGAUGCACCGCCGCUAAAACAGAGCGAUUUCUUUGAUGAGAUAAAUAUCCAGCACCUUUGCAAAAGGAAUUCUUCAAAAAGUGCAAAAAGCCAAUCAAACGUUCGUUGGGCGAUCUAAAAUGUCAGCUGCUCAAGGUACCAAAAGGGGAUGCCGGCUAAAAGGCAACAUUAUUGUGCUUUUAGGAGUGCGAUGACUGAAUUAGCUAUAUAAAAGUAUCGUGUCGAAUGCAUAACUAAAAAAAAGUGGCAAUUCAAGCCGAUUAUACAUGUUCUGUACUGCAUUUCCUCAUGAGGGUCAAAGGUGAGCUGGAGCCUAUCCCAGCUGACUUUGAGCCGCUCAAUCGCCAAAUGGACUGCCGCAAUCUAGAACUGUCGGGCUGACAAUCACUAAUAGCUUGGCAAACAAAGAUAGAGGUAUCGGUCACCUGGUUUGGAGAAGCAUCCUCCCAUGGUGGGCUCGGGACGGACAGAGAGCUGAGGGGCGGCGACUUCCGGCCUCGGGAUCCUCGGAUGCGGCGACGUCACAGAAGUGCGGCUAUGAGAACCCGCACGUCCGCGAGGGACGUUGCGCACGUCAAUCCCUCCGCAUUAGCUGCACGGACACAAGAAAGCGUCACGUGAACAACGAACGCGUCUUCACACAUUUUGAUCACAAAGAUACUGCUUGCUUGUGUCCCACAGGGACACAUUGCUCUGAAAGUUGUUGAACUGAGAUUUGGUGGCUUUUGGUUUUUUUCUGUUAUUGGGUUAUGACAUAUUGAAAAUGGAGGGAUGAACGUUUGGGCAAAGACAAUUCUGACCGCGUCUGCCAAUUCAAGUUAAAGAAAGCCAAAUCCAUUCUGUACUGCUUCACAGGUUCCUAUGGACAACAAUUCUGGACUAUUCAAAUGUGUUAGCUGUGGAAGAAAUGGCAAAAGAAUCCUAUCCUCAUUUUUUGUAGGCACUUUUCCGAAAUCUCAUGUUGGUGCUUGUUAAAAGGAAGCAAUCUUGCUAAUUGACGAGAUUAGUCCACACAUGCUUACCUUUGUUCAUGCAUAUUGCAUCGUGGAACUGUUAACUAUUAACCGCACUCCAACAACUAUUAACUUUCUUGUCACAGUCCACAUUAAAGCGAAGCCAGGGGCCCCUCCA